UGUGAACAGAGACUGUCUGGUAUGUUCUCAGCAGCCUGAAAUUCAGGCUGCUGAACCAUGAACCCUGUCCUGGGUUCAGGUUGUUGAUGGCAAGUCAGCACACACGUGCUGUCUCUUCCCCAGCCACGGAUGGGCAGCAGCAAGAUGUUGAGGGGAAUGCUGUAGCGUACUUGGAGGUGGAGACGUGGAACUCUUGCAGCAAGAAGUGGAGGAACAGAUUGUACACAUCUGUAGGAAACCACAUUUUAGCAUUUCUGCUGUCCAAGGAACAUCUGGCAUCUGUUUGAAGGGAAGUGAAGGUAUUUAAGAGCUCAGAUGUCAUCUGUUUUCAAAGCCAGUCUGGCUUGAUGUAUAGUGUUUCUAGAAGCAAUACAUUUAGGGUGACUUCUCCUCGAAUGGG